AUACAGUUGAAAACACUGAUUCACAUGGAGUAUAACAUGGCUCUACAGUCCUCAAUUAAUCACAUUUCACUGUAGGUCUGGGGUUGAGGCACCCAAAGUAUAUCAAUGGGAGGAACAGUGCAGAUGUCUGUGGAUUCCUAUGAGGAAAAUUACUGUAUUUGCAUUUCCCUCACUCGGACAACAAAUGUGCAAAAGUACCCCAAUUAGCGGGAAGGAUGGGGGCCUCUUCUUGUCGAGCGUGGUACUGUAAUGGUUUUCCUCCUCUUCGUCUGAAGAGGAGAGGCGAGAAGGAUCAGAGGACCAAUAUGCGGCAUGGACACUGAAGGACACCACCACCGCCACCAAUUCAAGUGUGUGUAUUCCCUGGAAACCAAUCAAGAAAAACCCAGAAAAAUAAUCCCCAUUCUCUGCCAUGAUUCAUUUUUAUUUUGUUCCAUAUUUUUCUCUCUGGCUUUUGAGUCACUGGUGAAGGAGGAGCUCCGGCAUAAAAUCAAUGUUCCAUUAAAAUGUUAUGAUCAAGAAUGGCUUAAUAGCUCUGGAACAGAUGUUUUUGCUUUUAAUAUUACCCUAUAUUUCAGUAACUCUUACACAGAAAUGUAUUGCUAUCAACAGGGCUUCUAUAUUGGUCCUGUUUUAUCGGUCAGUUGAUAUGGGCACUAGAAAUAUUAAUGGUCAUAUUUCUCAUAAUAAAAAUUGAACAGAUUUUGAUAGAUACUGUAUGUUUGUAGCAUUGCAUGCCUAUUGGUCUCUAAAUAAAUUGUACAAAAAUUAUGUUUAACACCAGUGAUUUGAUGUGGACAUAGUGGAUCAGUCUGAAAUAAUUUGUUGAAACAAAUGAUCUGCCAUAUCUGUUAUUGAUAUUAUAGCGUAAUUCAAAUUAGUCAGUAUUAGAGAAGAUGCAGCAAUAUACAGCUUGUUGAAAGAAUGUAUGAAAUGAAUAGGUUGUCUGAUUGCUCACAGAGGCCUUAUCAAGGAAAUAAAAACGGAGCUGUAGAUGACUUGUGCUAUUGUUUUUAUUAUCUUUAUCACCAUUAUUGUUAUCAUCAUUAUUAAUUGUAGCAGAAUAAAAUCAGCCAAAACACCCCUCAGAAAUCAUGGCUUAAAUUUCUUCACACUUCGCUGAAAAUAGUAAAGACAAAAAAAA